rnacentral:lncRNA from 1 species
UUGAGCUAUGACAACGGAAUUCCUUGAUAAUGGAAGUUCUAUUUCUGGUACUUUCUCACUUUCUCACCAUGGAGUUGCUGACACCCUAUUCUACUGGCAUUUGUAUGGUGUAUGUGUUCGAUUAUCAGUCAAGCUUAAGGAUCGACGUGCAGAUGCUAUCUCCAUUCGUUGUAUAAAAGCUCAGGUGGCAGAGCACCCCACUGGAUCUCAGCGCUCCGAACCAUUGACAGAGCAAGCCGGGAUACUGUCGUGAAUGCUGAUCCUUAUUAUUACCAGAGUGAAAAGAAGCUGUAGAGGACCAAGAACAAUGAUAUACAGCUGUAGAUGGCCUUUG